AUCUCUUGAUUCUGGCAUCUCUGAGAAUCACCGCGUCAUGCGAUACGUAUUGUGCCUUGCGGAAUUCAGUGAAUCAUGCAAUCUUUGAACGCACAUUGUGCCCUCUGGUAUUCCUGGGGGGGUGCCUGUUCAAGCGUCUUUAUAACCACUCCCUCUCUCACUUGGUAUUGGGGUUCUCGCUUUCUCGCCCCCUAAAAUCAUUGGCGGCGCCUGUCUGCUUUACGCGUAAUACUACUCCUCGCGAUUGAUUCUUGCAGGUCUACUUGCCAACAACGCCUAGUUUUUUUAUGGUUGACCUCGGAUCAGGUAGGGAUACCCGCUGAACUUAAGCGUAUUGCUUUACUGACUAAAAGAGACCCACCGGGAUUUCCUCUUUAACAGCGAGUGAAGCUGGAACCCCUCUUAUUUUAAAGCUGGGUCUUUUCGGGGACGCCUCUUCAUUUGUUUAAUAUGCUUCGGGUGUGGCCCCGGGCUAGAUUCCUUGGAACAGGACGUCGUACAUGGUGAUAAUCCCUGACGUGACCGAGUGCUUUCGCU
rnacentral:rRNA from 1 species